AGCUGAUUGAGAAAUUUGUUUAUUUAUUACAAACGUGAAAUAAAAAUGGAUAAAAAAGAGUUAUUAAUGGCAAUUUUGGUAUUUUUGGAAAACAAAAAGAAAUUUAAUGAAAGAAUUAAAUUGUUAUUAAAUACAUUACAAGAUAAUGAAGUGCAAUUAAAAGCAAUAGUGGAUUUUAACGAAAUCAUACAUGCUGGACUUGUAUUCGCUCAGGAGCACCAUCGACAUAUUUGGAAAUUCGUAAGUAAAUAGUUAUUUCAAUUUGGGAUUGAAAUCAAAAAUUGCAUAUUUUAAGGAUCGAGGUGGUAUAUUUUGGGAGCACGAUGUCCCAACCAUGGAUGACUCAAGGUUCAAAGAAAAUUUUCGGCUAGAUAGAAGGGCAUUCAAAAAAGUGUGCGAAAAGGUAAAGAGUAUUGGAAAAAUGGAUAGCAACAUGAGGCGCUGUAUCUCACUUGAAAAAAGAGUAGCUAUAGCACUCUUUUCUUUGGGUUCGGCAGCGGAAUAUAGGACUGUUGCUAGUUUGUUUGGCGUUGGGCGCAGCACAGUUGGAGAAAUUGUGAUCGAUUUUUGUCAUGAAGUAUGUGGUACUCUUUCGGAUUGCAUUAAUGCAUACCCCCCACAUCCGCAAGAAUUAAGAAGAAUUGUAGAAGGUUUCAAACUGAUGGGGUUCCCACAAUGCUUUGGUGCUGUUGAUGGCUGCCACAUCGAAGUGCAACCCAAAAAAGUGGAAGCCAUAGACUAUUACAAUUAUAAAGGCUGGUAUUCAGUCAUUUUGUUGGCAAGCUGUGAUCAGAGAUCAAAGUUCACGUACAUAAACAUAGGAUCCACUGGGAGAAAUAAUGACUCGUACAUAUUUGAGAGGAGUUCACUUAAGAAAUUUCAUGAACACGCUCGUAUUUUUAAGGAAAAUAGCGAAAUAAUUGAAGGCAUCAAUGUACCUGUGCUUCUUAUUGGCGACUCAGCUUUUCGUUUAUCACAUCAUAUGAUGAAACCAUAUCCAUAUGGGGUUAAUCAAUCGCCUGUUGAAAAGCACUUUAAUUAUCUUUAAUUAUCGACUGUCCAAAUGUCGCCGAGUGAUCGAAAAUGCCUUUGGUCAACUUAAAGCGCGCUUCCGUAAAGUUGGAAGAGGCUUGCAAGUUGCUCCUAAAAAUGUUAAUAUUAUAAUUAGAGCAUGUUGCAUUUUGCAUAAUUUUCUAAAGAUUGAGAACGAUGAAGUUUUUCCCGCAUGGAUACCAGAAGCAGCAGAAGAUGAAAGAAGACAUCAACCCAAUCACACAACAAGAUUAGGAGAAAAUGACCAAACUGCGACAGCGGUUAGGAAUGCCAUAGCAAUGAGAUUUCAAAACGAAGUGCUCAUGGAUGUGGACGAGGUAUCCAGUGGCGACAACAAUGGCGAGCUGGUCGAUGGUAUUACUGGCGACAACGGCUCCGGGGACAUUGUUACUGGUGAUGCUGCAGGUACAGAUGGCGGUAACGGCAGCAAUGUUGAUGACGAUAUGUCCUAAAGAAAAAAUUGUUUUAAGUUAAUACGAUAAAGAAAUAAAAAGAUGAAAUUUAAGCUUACCACAGUUAAUGAUUCAUAAAUUUCUGCAUUAUUGGCUGCAGUCAGCCCUAUGAUUUGAUGCACCGCAUCAAAAUAUUUCCACGUCGAUGGGCUGCCCCCCGAUGGGCCAGUUUUCUUCUUUUCUUCUCUACAAUUUCACAAAGGUUAAUAAUGUUAAAAAUGUUUUAUAAUAGCAUAGUAUACCUGUAUCUUUGUGAUAAGUUUCUAAUUUUAAUAUGGACUUCCUUCGGAGUAAAUUUAUGUGCCAUUUGCACAGAUAUAUCGGCAUAUAUAUGCAAAUUGCGCUUGGCACGUCUUAAAUCAUCGGCCCGCUCACGCCACAAGUCAA